GAAGAGGCAAUGGUGGCAGACAGGGAGCCGAUUCCAGGAAAGAAGGGCGCUUCGAGCAAACACGAGAGUGCCUUUAUGAGAGGUAAUUUACUGAAAUACACAGCGAUGGCCUGCUCAGCCAGCCCUGGUGUAAUUAAAAAUGGCAGGCCUGGGGCUCUGGCUUCCCCAGUGCUGGCCAAGGAAACUGGGCUUCAUCUUGUGACGCUUGAGGUUGGAUCCAGGGAUUGGCUUGGAGUCAGAGGUGAUCAGAGGGACCUCAGGAUAUUAUCAAGCCCUGGAAAUCAACUCCUGAGAAGAACAAAACAAUAGCAAGAGAAAAUAGACCCUGAAAAGAGGGGCAUGUGUAAUGGGUCUAGGCUUUUCCUGUUUUGGAACUUGAUGGAGGUUGGUUCGCAACAUGGUUACUGAGGGGUUAAAUGAGAAGAUGCAGAAGAGCCUGGCCCGGUGCCAGAUACACACUGACCCUCUUCCCAGAUGCCAGCGUGUCUCGCACCAGAUCAAGCUGGACUGAGUUCCCUCUCCACUCCACAAAGGGAAUUUGGAGUAACUUGCAAUGUCUUGCAUUACUGUGAAAACGGCAACUAACUCAUCAUUUUUCUGAAAGUCUAAAGAAAUUUCAAGUGGGAAACUUGUGCCAUCAGGAAAUGACAGGAAUUCAGUGGAGCUCAACUAAGUAAAAUGAAAAGAGGAGGGAAUCGAAAUGUCUGGAGGUAUUAAAAUUAUGCCCUGGAGUUCCCGUCAUGGCCCAGUGGUUAACGAAUCC